GAGGUGGUAGAGAAACAUCAACUACUGGCUCGUGGACUAUGGGUUCCUGAUGAUCUAUAGCUCUGGGCUCUUCAGAGACUUUCUCUUCGAGCUCCAUUAACCUUCCAUUGCUGCCAUCCUGGAUAAACUAUUUUUCUAAAAAUAUGAUAAUUUGACUCACAAUCACAUUAUGAUCUUAUGAAAAAUAGAAGUAGUAUCCCAUGGAU
rnacentral:lncRNA from 1 species